CUUUUAAUUUUUUUGCUCAAUUUAUUCAAUUCAUUCCAAUACUGAUACACAUCACUCCUUUAGAAGUAUUAUGUGUUAAUAACACAGUAACUGACUGGGUUGUUAAAGGGUUAUGAUGUUUGUUUUUGUAAGAAAUAUGAGGAAAUUUGAGUGGUUUUUCACUUUUUCCUCAUAGCCAGACCGACUUCUUUUACAGAACAUUUGUCACCAGAUCAUUUAUGUGGAGUUUAUAUUUUCUGGGGUGAGGAUUUUCUCUUUUAGUACGUAAGUGUUAUCUCUUAAUUAACUUUAUUCAUUUAUGUUUUUUUAUUUUAAACCAUUCUGGUCUGGCGUCUUUAGCCUAUUCUCAAACUUGAUUUAAUUUCAAGUGAAGUGUUUGUGAUUUCUACACUUCCUUUGUGGUUGAUGUAGGUAGAUCACAGAGGUUUGUUGAACAAUGCGUUUUAGCACAAUGCUGGAACGUUUCAUAAUGGUUGCCGUUUCUCAACAGCUCCGCUCUUGUAUAUAAGAGAUGUGUAGCAUUCAGUUCAACACUUCAGAAACCUCCAGGAUCUUCUGUAACCAUUUGCUAAAGCUGUGUGAUCAGUAAACCAACCAUGCUGAAGGUAGCAAUUGUGCUGGGAUGUCUCCUCAGCCUCACUCUGGCUAGACCUGGGGACCACAAGCGGUUCCAUCCACACCGUGGUAGAUCACACUCAAGAGAGUCUCCUAGACCGACUGGACCUGCAGUGGAUAACGCACUGCUUCAGCUCAUUUACAACCUGCUGCAACAGCUGGCUACAACUACGACCUCGGCAACAAGUACGACUGCAACUACGGCCACCACUGCAACUACGGCCACCACUGCAGCAACAGCCACAACUGCAACCCCAGCCACCACUACAAAAUAAACUACAACUACUACUACUACUACAAAAUAAAAUGGAAACAUCUGUGACUUUAUUCUAAGAUCAUUACCAUUCAGUUUUCUUAAGAGUGCUUUGGCACUCCUUGUUCAUCUUCAUCUUACUGGAGCAAAAGUCACAAAUUGAUUUUUUGUCAUCUGUCAAAUAAAUAAUUCAAAUGCAAAAAAAAAAAAAGUGUUGUGUCUACUGAUUUGGUAUAUUCCUAUAAAAACAUAAAAUGCUUGGAAAAGUUCUCAAAAAGGGGUUAGAAAACAUGCACAUCUUUAUAUAUAGCAAUAUUAAAGAAUAUUUCUGUAACUGAAAAUAAUUGAUUCAACAACAAGCAACAACACUUUUUGCUUAUAAUACCUAUAAAAUAUAAAAACAAAUUAUUUUCUUUUUAAAAUUAUGUUAAAGUACCUGGUAAAAGCACGUUUUUUUGUCAUUCAACAGUCCAAGGGUGGGGGUUCAAUGCUGUGCUUAUUUAUUGCAUCCAAGAUUGUUUUCCGUUUUUAAAAGAAAUUACAUAAAUCAAAUUAAAGAAAGAUUAAAAAUGAGGUGUAUGCAGACAGAUGUGGUCUGUUCAGUAAUUCCUCUAUGCCAACUGCAUCUCUAGUCUAUU